GAUGAACGCUGGCGGUAUGCUUAACACAUGCAAGUCGAACGGACUCUUCGGAGUUAGUGGCGGACGGGUGAGUAACGCGUGAGAAUCUGGCUUUGGGUUCGGGACAACCACUGGAAACGGUGGCUAAUACCGGAUGUGCCGAGAGGUAAAAGAGAAAUUGCCUGAAGAUGAGCUCGCGUCUGAUUAGCUAGUUGGUGAGGUAAAGGCUCACCAAGGCAGCGAUCAGUAGCUGGUCUGAGAGGAUGACCAGCCACACUGGGACUGAGACACGGCCCAGACUCCUACGGGAGGCAGGAGUGGGGAAUUUUCCGCAAUGGGCGAAAGCCUGACGGAGCAAUACCGCGUGAGGGAAGAAGGCUCUUGGGUUGUAAACCUCUUUUCUUAGGGAAGAACAAAAUGACGGUACCUAAGGAAUCAGCAUCGGCUAACUCCGUG
rnacentral:rRNA from 1 species